CCUACGGGUGGCAGCAGUGGGGAAUAUUGGACAAUGGGCGAAAGCCUGAUCCAGCCAUGCCGCGUGUGUGAAGAAGGCCUUCGGGUUGUAAAGCACUUUCAGUGGGGAAGAAAGCCUUGGGGCUAAUACCCUCGAGGAAGGACAUCACCCACAGAAGAAGCACCGGCUAACUCCGUGCCAGCAGCCGCGGUAAUACGGAGGGUGCGAGCGUUAAUCGGAAUUACUGGGCGUAAAGCGCGCGUAGGCGGUCUGAUAAGCCGGUUGUGAAAGCCCCGGGCUCAACCUGGGAACGGCAUCCGGAACUGUCAGGCUAGAGUGCAGGAGAGGAAGGUAGAAUUCCCGGUGUAGCGGUGAAAUGCGUAGAGAUCGGGAGGAAUACCAGUGGCGAAGGCGGCCUUCUGGACUGAGACUGACGCUGAGGUGCGAAAGCGUGGGUAGCAAACAGGAUUAGAUACCCGUGUAGUC
rnacentral:rRNA from 1 species